rnacentral:rRNA from 1 species
GGACGUUCUUUUUAGAGUCCGACCCUUUCAUUUUCUUACACUGUGCACACACUUCUUUUUUACACACACUUUUAACACCUUAGUAUAAGAAUGUAAUAGUCUCUUAAUUGAGCAUAAAUAAAAACAAAACUUUCAGCAACGGAUCUCUUGGCUCUCGCAUCGAUGAAGAACGCAGCGAAUUGCGAUAAGUAAUGUGAAUUGCAGAAUUCAGUGAAUCAUCGAAUCUUUGAACGCACCUUGCACUCUUUGGUAUUCCGAAGAGUAUGUCUGUUUGAGUGUCAUGAAACUCUCAACCCCCCUAUUUUGUAAUGAGAUGGGUGUGGGCUUGGAUUAUGGUUGUCUGUCGGCGUAAUUGCCGGCUCAACUGAAAUACACGAGCAACCCUAUUGAAAUAAACGGUUUGACUUGGCGUAAUAAUUAUUUCGCUAAGGACGUUUUCUUCAAAUAUAAGAGGUGCUUCUAAUUCGCUUCUAAUAGCAUUUAAGCUUUAGACCUCAAAUCAGUCAGGACUACCCGCUGAACUUAAGCAUAUCAAUAAGCGGAGGAAAAGAAAAAAAA